rnacentral:rRNA from 1 species
AUUGAACGCUGGCGGCAUGCCUUACACAUGCAAGUCGAACGGUAACAGGUCUUCGGAUGCUGACGAGUGGCGAACGGGUGAGUAAUACAUCGGAACGUGCCCGAUCGUGGGGGAUAACGGAGCGAAAGCUUUGCUAAUACCGCAUACGAUCUACGGAUGAAAGCAGGGGACCGCAAGGCCUUGCGCGGACGGAGCGGCCGAUGGCAGAUUAGGUAGUUGGUGGGAUAAAAGCUUACCAAGCCGACGAUCUGUAGCUGGUCUGAGAGGACGACCAGCCACACUGGGACUGAGACACGGCCCAGACUCCUACGGGAGGCAGCAGUGGGGAAUUUUGGACAAUGGGCGCAAGCCUGAUCCAGCCAUGCCGCGUGCAGGAUGAAGGCCUUCGGGUUGUAAACUGCUUUUGUACGGAACGAAAAGGCUCUGGUUAAUACCUGGGGUUCAUGACGGUACCGUAAGAAUAAGCACCGGCUAACUACGUGCCAGCCGCCGCCGUAAGAC